AGAGUUUGAUCCUGGCUCAGAGCGAACGUUGGCGGCGUGCUUAACACAUGCAAGUCUUGGGGGAAAAGUUUCUUCGGAAACCUAGUACACCGGCGCACGGGUGAGUAACACGUGAGUAACCAACCCUUCAGUCUGGAAUAACUCGCCGAAAGGCGUGCUAAUGCUGGAUAGUUUGGCUCCUCCAUCGGGUGGAGUCAGUAAAGAUGGUCCUGCUAUCGCUGAAGGACGGGCUCGCGUCCCAUUAGCUAGUAGGUAGGGUAACGGCCUACCUAGGCAACGAUGGGUAGCUGGUCUGAGAGGAUGAUCAGUCACACUGGCACUGGAACACGGGCCAGACUCCCACGGGAGGCAGCAGUGAGGAAUAUUGCGCAAUGGGCGAAAGCCUGACGCAGCGACGCCGCGUGAGGGAUGAAGGCUUUAGGGUCGUAAACCUCUGUCAGUAGGGAAGAAAACUUGUCAUUAACUACGGCAAGCUUGACGGUACCUACAAAGGAAGCACCGGCUAACUCCGUGCCAGCAGCCGCGGUAAUACGGAGGGUGCAAACGUUGCUCGGAUUUACUGGGCGUAAAGGGAGCGCAGGCGGUUUGCUAAGUCAGGUGUGAAAGCCCGAGGCUCAACCUCGGAACUGCAUUUGAAACUGGCAAACUAGAGUAUAUUAGAGGAGAGUGGAAUUCCUGGUGUAGCGGUGAAAUGCGUUGAUAUCAGGAGGAACACCGGUGGCGAAGGCGACUCUCUGGGAUAUUACUGACGCUGAGGCUCGAAAGCGUGGGGAUCAAACAGGAUUAGAUACCCUGGUAGUCCACGCCCUAAACGAUGAAUACUAGGUGUUUCCGCCUUGACCGCGGGAGUGCCGAAGCUAACGCAUUAAGUAUUCCGCCUGGGGACUACGGCCGCAAGGCUAAAACUCAAAGGAAUUGACGGGGACCCGCACAAGCGGUGGAGCAUGUGGUUUAAUUCGAUGAUACGCGAAGAACCUUACCUAGGUUUGACAUCCUGCGAAUCCUCUAGAGAUAGAGGAGUGCCUUCGGGAGUGCAGUGACAGGUGCUGCACGGCUGUCGUCAGCUCGUGUCGUGAGAUGUUGGGUUAAGUCCCGCAACGAGCGCAACCCCUGUCUCUAUUUGCCAGCAUUUAGUUGGGGACUAUAGAGAGACCGCCUCGGUUAACGGGGAGGAAGGAGGGGACGACGUCAAGUCAUCAUGGCCUUUAUACCUAGGGCUACACACGUGCUACAAUGGCCGGUACAGAGGGUUGCCAACCCGCGAGGGGGAGCUAAUCCCAAAAAGCCGGCCCCAGUUCGGAUUGUAGUCUGCAACUCGACUACAUGAAGUUGGAAUCGCUAGUAAUCGCAGAUCAGCUACGCUGCGGUGAAUACGUUCCCGGGUCUUGUACACACCGCCCGUCACACCACGAGAGUCGGCGGCGCUGGAAAACAGUGAUCUAACCUUCGGGAGGAAGCUGUUUAAGGCGAAGCUGGUGAUUGGGGUGAAGUCGUAACAAGGUA
rnacentral:rRNA from 1 species